rnacentral:lncRNA from 1 species
UUAGAAGAAAAAAGUUUCCUAUUUUGUGACCGAUCCCCAAGAUGUCAUAGCCUGGUCUGUAUAUGCUUCCGCCUUCUCCCCAGACUACUCCCCAGCCAGAGUUACCUUCUCCCCAGACUACUCCCCAGCCAGAGUUACCUUCUCCCCAGACUACUCCCCAGCCAGAGUUACCUUCUCCCCAGACUACUCCCCAGCCAGUUACCUUCUCCCCAGACUACUCCCCAGCCAGUUACCUUCUCCCCAGACUACUCCCCAGCCAGAGUUACCUUCUCCCCAGACUACUCCCCAGCCAGAGUUAGCUUCUCCCCAGACUACUCCCCAGCCAGAGUUACCUUCUCCCCAGACUACUCCCCAGCCAGAGUUACCUUAUCCCCAGCCAGAGUUACCUUCUCCCCAGACUACUCCCCAGCCAGAGUUACCUUCACCCCAGACUACUCCCCAGCCAGAGUUACCUUCUCCCCAGACUACUACCCUGCCAGAGUUACCUUAUCCCCAGCCAGUUACCUUCUCCCCAGACUACUCCCCAGCCAGAGUUACCUUCUCCCCAGACUACUCCCCAGCCAGAGUUACCUUCUCCCCAGACUACUCCCCAGCCAGUUACCUUCUCCCCAGACUACUCCCCAGCCAGAGUUACCUUCUCCCCAGACUACUCCCCAGCCAGAGUUACCUUCUCCCCAGACUACUACCCAGCCAGAGUUACCUUCUCCCCAGACUACUCCCCAGCCAGAGUUACCUUCUCCCCAGCCAGAGUUACCUUCUCCCCAGCCAGAGUUACCAUCUCCCCAGACUACUACCCUGCCAGAGUUACCUUCUCCCCAGCCAGAGUUACCUUCUCCCCAGACUACUCCCCAGCCAGAGUUACCUUCUCCCCAGACUACUCCCCAGCCAGAGUUACCUUCUCCCCAGACUACUCCCCAGCCAGAGUUACCAUCUCCCCAGACUACUACCCAGCCAGAGUUAGCUUCUCCCCAGCGAGUUACCUUCACCCCAGAUUACUCCCCAGCCAGAGUUACCUUCUCCCCAGACUACUCCCCAGCCAGUUACCUUCUCCCCAGACUACUCCCCAGCCAGAGUUACCUUCUCCCCAGACUACUCCCCAUCCAGAGUUACCUUCUCCCCAGACUACUCCCCAGCCAGAGUUACCAUCUCCACAGACUACUACCCAGCCAGAGUUAG